rnacentral:rRNA from 1 species
CCCCUAGAUGUUCUGGGCCGCACGCGCGCUACACUGAACAGUUCAACAAGUUUUAACCUUGGCCGAUAGGUCUGGGUAAUCUUUGAACGCUGUUCGUGAUUGGGAUAGACCUUUGCAAUUAUGGGUCUUCAACGAGGAAUUCCUAGUAAACGCAAGUCAUCAGCUUGCAUUGAUUACGUCCCUGCCCUUUGUACACACCGCCCGUCGCACCUACCGAUUGAAUGGUCCGGUGAAAUCUCGGGACGGCGGCUUGGUCGCUUGCGUCCGACUGCUGAAACUUGAUUAAACCAUAUCAUUUAGAGGAAGGUGAANUCGUAACA